rnacentral:piRNA from 1 species
UGUCAGCUUGUACACUCGCUUGUCUGCCU